AUCUGGACCCACAAAACUCACAACAACGCAUCAUGACUAUAACAACACAACUAAACGCCCCAGAAAUACAAAACUUGGCAAAACAAUGCAAAAGCCUUGCCUCCCGGUUGUAACAACACAACCACACCACAAAACCACACCGGACCCACAAAACUCACAACAACGCAUCAUGACUAUAACAACACAAGUAAACGCCCCAGAAAUACGAAACUGGGCAACACAACACAAACGACCCAGAAAUACAAAACUUCGCAACACAACACAAAAGCCUUGCCUCUCAGUUAUAACAACACAACCACACCACAAAACCACAAUCCAGACCCACAAAACUCACAACAACGCAUUGUGACUAAAACAAAUACAACAUUUGACAACACAACUCAUCCACCUCCCCAAUCCCUACAUUCACACUUGGCCUCCAAAAAAACAAUUACAAUAAUAACAACGACAACAACAACAACAAUAAGAAUCAACACCAUCACAGGCAAGAAAGAGCCAGGCACUGAGGCUGAGAGGCCAGUCAGUGCUACACUGGGCCUCCAAAAAACAAUACAGUAGCAUCUAACUUAUCCAACCUUCAUAAUCACUACAACAACAAUAAUAAUAAACACCUACACAGACAAAACAAAAAAAAGACUAUUGUACCACAAUAAAAAUAUAAACCGCACUCAGCAGAAUCAGACAUUACAAUUAACAACAAACCAAAGACAACAGGGAUCUCAAGCAAUUAUCAAUCAACACAAAAAUUGAAGAAGGUAACAGACUUCAAAUACUACUACUAAUGUGAGUAUAAAGAAGGGUGGAGGUCACAGCAUCAAUACAACCUAAUGUAGACUGACCAACACCACCAGACUAAGCCACAGCAACGCGUGGCCGAGCACAGCUAGUAUAUAUAUAUAUAGAGAGAGUUACACCUGUUCUAGGUUACAUGCAAUUUUGACUUGUAACUUGGGGACUGCCUGUAUAUGGAACUGAUAAUUAUAAAGUGUGGUGGUGAUAGCUAAUAAUUAUGUUAACUUUUAAAAUAGUGACAAGAGAUUGCCAUAAGUCCAGGUUCUAUUACUAGGAACCCCAUAUUGAAAAGUCAUGAUGACCAGAUCUAUGGCUAUACAAAAGAAGAUAGCUGUCACUCUUUGGACAGUGAACCAUUAAGAUGAUGAACUACGUGAACCUUCAUUGGGUCCAAUAUAUAGACUACUAGAGGUCAAGUGAUUCUAUGUUGUCUUGUGGAAAUCCAGAAAAAGGCCAAUUGAGGGAAGUUCUUUUCCGUGUUGUCUUGUAUAGGUUGAGUGUUCUUUAUCCAAUAUGCUUGGAACUGGAAGUGUUUUGGAGCUCAGUUUUUUUUUCUUCAGAUUUUGGAAGACCUGCCUGCAUAUUAAGUAGCUAAUGGGAUAACUUGGAAAUUGGACCCAAGUGGAAACACAAAAUCCAUGUUUCAUAUAACCUUAUACAUGUAUUUUGUCUUGUAGUGAAGUUGGUGUACAGUGAAUCAUCAGAAAGCAAAGGUAUCACUAUCUCAGUCACCCAUUUGGAUAAUUUUGGAAUAUUUCAGAUUUUGGAAUUCCUGAUAAGGUAUGCUCAAUUUAUAUUUACAGAUGCUGGGUGAACAAUAACCAGCUCAAGGGCUAUUGGACCAAAUUGGAUGCACAUUUUUUUCCUUUUGCAAUUACCAUAAUUCCUGUGCUAUGUGGUUAUUUUCCAAAAAGCUGUUGAAAAUAAAGUUUAAUCCAUUCUAUCGUAAAACAACAACCCAUUAAAAUUACUUCAUUUUUGUAAUCCUUUAUUUUUUUUAAUUUGAUCCUCCCAUAGUAAUGUACUGAAAUGCAUAACAGUUACAUUGUACAAAGCAUUUAAAGAAAGUACCUCGAGUUGCUGGUUAUUUCAAAAUGAGAUAAUAAACAAAAGGAAAAUAAAAUCUGGUCCCUCACCAAAAGAGCAAAAUUCCCUCCCCUCCCUGCCCCUAAAACAACCGAAUACAGUUCAUUAUUUAUUUAUUGGGGGUUUUCCUUUUAAACAUAAGUUUGGAACACUUCAUUUUACAAAUAGGAUUAACAUGAACAAAACAUCACACAAGCUUGCAGACAACCAGCAUAAAAUAUUGGGUACAGUUUUCUUUUUCUUUAAUCAGAAGAAUCAUGCUUUCAUGAAGAAAAAAUUAGAAUGCUUUAUACAUUUGAAUCAUUUUGCUGUAUUACAAAAAAAAUCUAAAUCACCUCUAUUCAUUAUUUAGUUUCAGUAACAUGAAAAAAUAAACAAUAGUAAAAGAGGAAUGUAAGAAUUUUUUUCCAAACACUGUUUGCACGCUCAUAUAUGCAGAUCAGUUUGCCUCCCUUUUUUUCUCCUUUGAAGUCCAUGGGUGCCCAGAAAAACGAUGGGGGGAACUGAACAGUGCUAUUAAUUUCAUACGAACCGUGCUACAUUUAGCAAGAGUGCUUUUUUACUUAAUCCACAAACAAUUGUUUGCCAAAAAUAAAUACAUGGUACACACAACGCCAAAAAGA
rnacentral:lncRNA from 1 species